rnacentral:rRNA from 1 species
AUGAACGCUAGCGACAGGCCUAACACAUGCAAGUCGAGGGGCAGCACAAGGAGCAAUCUGAGGUGGCGACCGGCGCACGGGUGAGUAACACGUAUGCAACCUGCCUAGUAAGCGGGGGAAUAACCCGUUGGAAGACGGACUAAUACCGCAUAAUACUAAAUUACUGCAUGGUAAUUUAUUUAAACAUUUAUGGCUUACAGAUGGGCAUGCGCAUGAUUAGCUAGUUGGAGAGGUAACGGCUCCCCAAGGCAACGAUCAUUAGGGGUUCUGAGAGGAAGGUCCCCCCACACUGGUACUGAGACACGGACCAGACUCCUACGGGAGGCAGCAGUGAGGAAUAUUGGUCAAUGGACGAGAGUCUGAACCAGCCAAGUCGCGUGCAGGAAGAAUUGUCCUAUGGAUUGUAAACUGCUUUUGCAGGGGAAUAAAGUGCAUCACGUGUGAUGUUUUGUAUGUACUCUGCGAAUAAGGAUCGGCUAACUCCGUGCCAGCCGCCGC